AGUCUCACUCUGUUGCCAAACUGGAGUGCAUUGGCGUGAUCUCAGCUCACUGCAACCUCCGCCUCCCAGGUUCAAGCGAUUCUCCUGCCUCAGCCUCCUGGGUAGCUGGGAUUACAGGCAUCCACCACCAUGCCCGGCUAAUUUUUGUAUUUUUAGUAGAGAUGGGGUUUCACUAUGUUGGCCAGGCUGGUCUCCAACUCCUGACCUCAAGUGAUCUGUCUGCCUCAGCCUCCCACAGUGCUAGGAUUACAGGUGUAAGCCACCAGGCCUGGCCACUUUUUAAUAAGUAUUUUUAGAGAGGAAUUUUGAAACUAUGUAUAUAUUCUGUUCCUCAUCAAGCAUUUAAUUUAUUCAUGUAUUCACAUUUGUGAACUCCUGGUUACCCAUAUUAUUCAGUGGGUUGUAACCUGUUACUAGCAUUAUCUGUUCUGAUGCUCACAUUGUCCCUGAUCUGAUCAAUGGGAGCCCAUUUCAGCUGGCUUCUAUUACCCUCUGACAUGUUCUCAACAUUCUCUGAACACAUCCUUGCCUUCUGUCAUCACAAGAUGUUCUAGACACAUUUCGUACUUUGCUUGCCCUAGCUCUGGAACUGGCCAUUUCUCCAAGCAGCCCUAGUUUCUUGUAAUGGAAAAUGCUAUUUAGAAGCCAAGAUCUGGGAGCUAGGUGUGCUCAUUGUUAUUGAAGUGUCACUGCCCCCAGCCUCUCUUAAUGGAAAUAAGUAGAGAAUAUUUGUAAGUAUAAUACAUAACUUUAGAUGGCUACACAUACCUAUAGUUCUAUAUCUUAUAGAUAUCUGAAGUGUGUGUGUGUUUGUAUGUUUGUAACCACAAGUUCACACAGAGACUUCCAUUCAAGUUCACACAGAGACUUCCAUUUUCAACAUAAUACCACAGGGUCCAUUCUAGCUUUCUUUUUACAUUUCUUCCCCUCUGCUGGUACCUGGUCUCCUGCAGAAACCUUUUCCCUGCUCAGGUUCUGAACCCCAUACCAGUCUGUCCCCUGCACAGACACCCUCCUUGCCUUUCAGGCUGAGUCAGGUGAAGGACUGGCUUCUAUGGAUGCCCAUCUCUCCCUGCUCAAACUGCACCAACUGUCCCCAUGUGUGCAUGCUCUCUUCAUCCCACGGGGCUCAUGCCCCAGAACACCCCCUUGGGAACUCCCUCCUCACCCUGCCUGGGCUCUGACCUCCCAGGCUAGAUUUCCCUUCCCCCAAACCUACCCACAAAUGGAUGUCCUGCUCACACUGCUCAAAUCUGGUCUGUCCACACUGGAGACCAUCCACUGCCAAAAUAAAUAAAUAAAUAAAUAAAUAAAUAAAUAAAUAUAAAAAUAAAAAAAAAGCAAAACCAUACACACACAGAUACCCUCUUCACCCUGCUCAGAGGACUCUGACUCCCACACCAGGCUCUGACCCCCUCUACUUCCCACCAUGGGGAUGCCUUCUCUACCAUUCUUGAGCUCUGAGCCCUGAUCUGGGCACCAUGGCUUCCCAC
rnacentral:lncRNA from 1 species